AAAUUAUCUGGCCCAAAGUGUUGGUAGUGCCAAGGCCAAGAAACCCUGCUUUGGUUCCUGGGUGUAGGGACGUGUAUUUUCUUAAACAAGAGCCCCUCCCGCCUGCAUUGUGGUGGAUGAUGGCUGCCUUUUCAUUGAGUACGGGCUGUGUGCCAAGCGAGUUACUUCCAUGAUUUUCUUUAAUCCUUACAACUUUUGAGGUACGUGUGGUUUUUUUUUCUUACUUUUUCACCUCUCCCCAAGUUGUCUGCAGAUGUGUGUUUUUAUCUUCAUUUUACAGAUGAGGAACCCGAAGUGUAGAGCGUUAAGUAAUUUGCUUGAGGGGACCCAGAGUGGGAGAUGAUGGGCUCGGAUUCAGGCCCAAGGCCAUCCCCCUCCCAGUGCCUGCUCAACUCCACAGCAUGUGCUGAGUCCACACACCAGGAUUCAAAUCCCUGCUCCACUUCCCAGCUGUGCAACCUGAGCAAGUUACUUCACUGCCUCCUGCCUCAGUUUCCACACCUGAAAAUUGGGGACAGGAAGGGCUGUGUGGAGCAGGCCAAAUUUUGCGAUGAAGCAUCUGGGUCUGUGGGUUGCACAGCGGACAGCGCAGGAUUUCUUUGCCCUCAUACGGAGCAGGGUAACGAGCAGCACACCCCACUUUGAUGCCGAGGGUGAGGAGAGGGCAGGAGACCACUGAGAGCGUGCUGGGCACAGAGUCUGGCACACAGUGCUCAGUCACCGCAAGCGGCCACUUCUGUUAACCUGUUUGAUCCGCUCUUCAGGAGCUGGGUCUCCACCUUUUUCAGGAACACGCUGUGUGAAAAGCAAGCCAUGCUUGUGUCGGGAAAGCCCAGUGGGUCCAAUCUAUGUCAUCAAGUUUUAGACUUCAGUCCCUCUCUCUUUUUGUCUUCCCCUUUUGCAGACAACUUGGAAGAGCUUAAGGAAAUAGAUAAAGGCAUGUGGAAGAAACUGCAGGAGAAGUUUGCCCCCAAGGGUCCUGAGGAGGAUCAUAAGGCCUGAGCUCAGGCCUUACCUCGUGCACAUACCUAGGUGUGGAAUCUUGUACAUUGCCAUCGUCAAUAAAACUGCCCCAGUUUCCCCUUGACCUUACGGUUUGGGAAUCUCCUCUAGCUUUCCCAGAAAGGAAGCCCUUGCUGCUCUAAAGAAAGUUUCAGCCUGAGGAGGGAUGGUGAUUGAGCUAUCUGCUGUGACUGCUGCUCAGGGUAGGGAAAUCUCCUGGGGAGAGGAAAUGCAGGUUUCCCUCUGGACCUGAUGAGGGUAAUGGGGCCUCGGCACAAGGUGCUUCCUGCAUUGCCACGGGAGCCCCCGCCCCUCUGGCAGGGGUCUGGUGUCUCCUGGCAAGAUACUCAGGCUCCCUUUUGUUGUAGGAGCUCCUGGGAGGAAGCCAAAAAUAGCAGUAAAUACUGAAAAGGGCAUCCUGUUGCAAACAGAAAGCAGCAGAGAGGUGUGAGGCCGAGAGAGGCAAAAAGCCUGCUUGGCCCUCAUCCCCACUGACUCAGAGAAGGAUGGACCUUAGGCCUCUGUCCCUGACCUUGCAAAAACCCACAUUGCCCAGUUGGCUUAAGGGACAGGGAAGCUAUAGACAGGCCUUGGCCAGGCGGGGCCUCAGCUGCAGUUGGCUUCAGCACUGUGGGCAGGUUCUGUAGGUGGCCACAAGUCAGAGGCCCUGCUGGCUGAGGACACACACAGGGUCACCUCGUUAUUCCAUGGAACCUUGGCUCUUACUGAUACUGAGCAUCCUUCUGUCUGGAACCGUGAGGGACAGGGCUGGGCCCACAGCGCCCCUGGUGGGUACAAAGUGGAAGUGGGUUCUUAACCUCGUCUGUGUCUAGACUCCUCAGGAUGUUCUGAAAUGCAUAAAAUAAAAUCGACAGGACUGCCAUAGAAACCAGUUAUGCCGAAAUGCAGUUCUGGGUAGGCAAAUCUCAGGGGAGGACCCCUGAGACAGGAUGUCACUCAGCGCAUCUCCUGAGAGCCUGAGGAGAGGCCAGGCCAGCAGGGAGGGGCUCUUGUUCCUGUCUUCUGCCAGUGUGUCCUGUUAAUCCCCACAGCCCCCGGGGGAGUGCAGGAAACACAUCCCUUUUUAACGGACUAGAUUUCUAUUAAUUUAUUUAAGGCAAUUAACAUAUUAGUUCUCAGGCCAAAGGAUUUGUAAAACAUUACACCAAAAGGAGAAAAACAAGCGGUCAUGAAACAGCCACGCAAGCGCAGCUCAGCCCUUGUUGCCUGGGUGUACAACUCUUCCCCAGGAAGCCUGGGAAGAGGCAGGUCCUGGGAGCAAGAUCGUCCAUCAUGGAGUCACCAGGCCACCUGGAGCCAUGCCGGGGGUGGCAUGGACACGACAGUGAGGUCUGCACUGGCUACAGCAGAUCUGAGGCACGGAGGGAACUGCACAGCCAUGGGCAGGGCUGAGCACAGCACCCUUGAAAUAAGUUAAAUAACAAAGCCCUAAAAUCACUAGUAACAGCAUAACUGCCACCUCCCCCAGAGGCCGGCAGCUGCCAAAAUGUAGUGCUUGGAGUUAAAGGGGUGACCCCACUCUUAACUACCCACAAGGAGGACUACAAAGAGUUGUCAGUUAUUGCUUUAAGGAACAAAGGUCUCUAGGUAGGAUUUAUCUUCUGCUAAGGCAUUAAGGUAAACUGAGUCCCAGUGAACUUUCAAGUCUUUUUAAGGGCUCUAAGCAGGACUGUCAGCUCUGAGGCUCCCCCUCCAUGCUCUUCAAAGCCCGGGUGGGUGUCAGGGUGUCUGGCAGAGUGGGAGUGGAGGCUGGCCAGCUGGCUGGGCCACCCAACCCGAGGGAGGGGGCAGUGUUCUUCCCAGUCGCAGUCUCCAGUGAUGAGCAUCCCCUGUUGGGGCCUUCGGUGGCUCUCCUCAGCGGCUAAUGCAGUUCUGGACAUCCACAAAGCCUAGGCGUUGCCUGCGUUUCCGCUGCUCCGUCAUCUAGGGUUAAGCAGAUGCCAACAGGCCUGGUCAGGCCGCCUGGCACCUUCCCUCCAUGGGUGCUGUGGAAGAGCUUGGCACCCAUCUUCCCCUGUGGGCCCAGCUGCUAUUCAGCACUGGCGGCGGGCCAGGGCCCCUCAGGGUGCUUUAAGGAUGUUGAUGUCAGCACCAAACCCUUGUUCUCAAUUAGCGUGUCACAAACCCUGGAUUUGAUGCAGCUGGGAAACCAGCCCACUAACAGAGGCUGCCUCAUCUUCAUGCAGGCACUGCCAGAUGCAGAAGAGGAUGUCUAGGCAAGAGGGCCUUAAACUCCCCCAUCUCCAGUGAUGGGGAUCCCCUCAAAGGACCUACCUGGCAGCUGUCAGAGGAAGGGGAUGAGAGACAGAGGGCCCCACCACCCUGUACUAAAGUUUCCACUUGGCCUUGUCUUUAGCAGCCCAAGGCAGGGGUUGUCAACCCCAGUCUGACUUGCCAUGCAGGGGAGAGUGGGUUUGGCACCUGCCUUCUCAUCCAGGCCCAGGGCCAGAGGCCAGUGGGGAAGAGGGUGGGUUAGGAAGGAUGAAGGCAGGCAGGGACUGCCCAGGGAUAGAACUCAGGGUGGGCCUGGGAUCAGGCGGGGUGCACACCUGCUCCUUGAGCUCAUUGAGCUGGGCAGUGAGGUGGGACACCAGCUUCAUGGUGGAGUUGAGCUUGUCCUGGAGAAUCCGAAUCUCAUUCUGCUCCCCCUCGCCCUCGUUGCUGACAAGGGACAUGGCCCGCAUCCGGGGGAACCAGUCCAGGUUCUUGUUCUGAAAAACAUCACCAGUGGGUUAAGCAGGCGUGGGCCCGGCCUAGAAAGGCCUCAUUUAGAAAAACAGUAGUGUUGGGGGAGGCUUCUGCCACACCCUUAACAAAAUUACUCGUCAGGGAUGUGUCAUGGGAAAAUCUGAAUUGACCUGGUCCUCCCUGGGGCCAGAGUGAGCUGGCAGUCAACCCUCUGUCAACCCUCUGCCACCGAGACAGGCUGACUUCCGUUAGGCAGCGUCGGCAGCUGAGUUUGAGUCCUUUGCUGGUAUCAGCACCAUCUGUUUACUCUCAUAACACCCCCUGAGAGGUGGAGGAAGGCCUCUGCACCCAGACAGACCCUGGAUCUCCUUCCUUCCUUCCUUCCUCCCGCCCGCCUGCCUGACAAGCACGCCCCACGCCCCGGGAAGACGCAAGUCAGACAGAUGGCAAAUUGAGGGAUCGGGAGGCUCCGCUGAGGAGAGCUGGCAUCUGACACGUGUCUGGGAGGCAAAGCCACGUUUCCCAGGACAGAGGAGUCGGGGGGGAGGGGGCACCAAGCAAUUCUCAGCUUUCUUGUAGUAAGCUGUGAAUUCUCAGACCAACAGAUAAACCUGUACACAAAGAUCAGUUUGAAAUACAGACUAAAUGAUAAAUAA
rnacentral:sRNA from 1 species